UACGUAGGGUCCGAGCGUUGUCCGGAAUUAUUGGGCGUAAAGAGCUCGUAGGUGGUUUGUCGCGUUGUCCGUGAAAACUCACAACUCAAUUGUGGGCGUGCGGGCGAUACGGGCAGACUGGAGUACUGCAGGGGAGACUGGAAUUCCUGGUGUAGCGGUGGAAUGCGCAGAUAUCAGGAGGAACACCGGUGGCGAAGGCGGGUCUCUGGACAGUUCCUGACGCUGAGGCACGAAGGCCAGGGGAGCAAACGGG
rnacentral:rRNA from 1 species